AUUUUUCAAAGCUUACUACCAGAAAACCGAAGGGGAAUUCAUCCCAAUGCAGGAUAAUACAAACAGUCUUAAAGGCCUGCCCCAGGCAAUGCAGGGAUUGUGCUCGGAAAUGUUGGAAGAAGUAUGCUCCAAAAGGGAGUGGUUUCGGAAGUUAGAAGCAGACUCCCACAUCAUGUGUUUAAAGAGAAAGCAGAGAAGGGGAUAAAUUGAAAACCAAUCCCCAGCAGGCUAGAGACCCCCAACAGGCAACUUUGCCCGCCAACCAAUUAUGGGGACAAAAAGCAAGAAAAGGGGAAGAAAGGAAGAUCAUCCGCCAGAAAGGCACCCUCUACCACCACGAUUAAAACUGACCAAAUCCUUUUGUCUGUUGCAGGGGAACAGAGGAUUGAUGAGGGCAGCAAGAUGCAACGCCAUGGAAGUCACCAAAAACCGGGGCAGAAAAUUUUCUGCCGAUUGUCGAAAAUUUUCUCGGAAGAACGGGGAAACAAUUUCAAUACUUUUAAGUUCUAGGUCGCCCACCAGUAUAAUGCGGGAAUACUAUUAAGUUCUAGGUCGCCCACCAGUAUAAUGCAGGAAUACAUUUUAAGUUCUAGGUCGCCCACCAGUAUAAUGCGGGAAUACAUUUUAAGUUCUAGGUCGCCCACCAGUAUAAUGCGGGAAUACUUUUAAGUUCUAGGUCGCCCACCAGUAUAAUGCGGGAAUACAUUUAAGUUCUAGGUCGCCCACCAGUAUAAUGCGGGAAUACAUUUUAAGUUCUAGG
rnacentral:lncRNA from 1 species